CGCAAUGCCGCGUGCAGGAGUAAGGCCUUCGGGUUGUAAACUGCUUUUGUACGGACGAAACGGUCCUGGUUAAUACCUGGGGCUAAUGACGGUACCGUAAGAAUAAGCACCGGCUAACUACGUGCCAGCAGCCGCGGUAAUACGUAGGGUGCAAGCGUUAAUCGGAAUUACUGGGCGUAAAGCGUGCGCAGGCGGUUUGUAAGACAGGCGUGAAAUCCCCGGGCUUAACCUGGGAAUGGCGCUUGUGACUGCAAAGCUGGAGUGCGGCAGAGGGGGAUGGAAUUCCGCGUGUAGCAGUGAAAUGCGUAGAUAUGCGGAGGAACACCGAUGGCGAAGGCAAUCCCCUGGGCCUGCACUGACGCUCAUGCACGAAAGCGUGGGGAGCAAACAGGAUUAGAUACCCUGGUAGUCCACGCCCUAAACGAUGUCAACUGGUUGUUGGGUCUCUUCUGACUCAGUAACGAAGCUAACGCGUGAAGUUGACCGCCUGGGGAGUACGGCCGCAAGGUUG
rnacentral:rRNA from 1 species